AUCCCUUUCGCCACUAAGCACUCGUGUUGAAAUUCAUCGACUGUCAUUAUCAGGGAGAAAGUCAGGCGAUUAUCAACGCACCAUGAAGUAUCUUUCUAUUUUUAUGCUCAUUGCGAUGCUGCUGGCGGCUGCUAGUGGCCAACGAUGCUUCGGGCGCAGUGCUCGGUGUGUAUUCCACUGGCAAUGCUGUGAUAACAUGCGUUGCUUCGGCGGGAAUUGUUGGCCUGGACGGUAGAAACACCCACGAGUGAAAGUAGUACGAACAGUCCCACCCCAAAUUGAAUGCAAUACGGUGAAUAAUUAAUUUAAAAAAAGAAUUUAUUAUACUUUUCUGUUGAAACUUAACUAUUAAAAUAUAUAAUAGUUACGAAAUUGAAUAAUUCAUUAGAAG